AUGGGAGAUCUCUUCCUCUCUCUCUCCUUCUCUGCCCUUCAAACAAAUAGAUAUAUGAAUCAAAUAAAUACAUUACUGGGGAUAGCAUUAAAUAUAUAUAUAAAAAUAUAUAAAUAUAAAUACAUAUAUAUAUAUACACACACCUGUGAGAGUUCCAGAACUUUGUGCAGGGCCUGGCCUCCUGCCCUGUCCUGUGGACCCUCCAGUUGGAGGUCAGGUGGGGGCCUGGGCCUCCGGGCCCGGUGGCAGCCAGCGCCUGGUUGUUCCUCUCUCUCCGAGUCCAAGAGCCGCCGGCUCUCGGCUGUUCUCCUGUUUUUAAAUUUCUUGAGUCGGUGCUUGCUCCUCAGUGCCAGGCGCCCUUCUGUUCCUGGAGCCGCCGAUCCCCACGUUGGCUCUGGGCGCCAGCGCCGUCCCUGUCCCUGCCUCCUCGCGGCCCCGGCUGCGCUGAGUGACCGCUGCCCGCUCCGACGCCCUGGCUCGGUCGGCUUCCCGUGCUUUCCUCGCUGGCCGCCUGUGCGCACUGCCCGGGCCCACCAGCAGUGGCCCCCUGCACCUGCUCAGAGGCCCCGCCCUGCCCCCAGCCGCAGGCUCCGCCCUGCGCAGGGCACCGAUCCCCUGCCCUUCAGACCAUGGCACGGCUGCUGUCACUUCGGAGCUGCCCCAGGCCCCGCGGUCCCCUUCCCGACCUCCUGCCGCAUCCUGACGCGGAGGCUGAGAGCCCAGCGCCCGGCCUUGGGAGACCUGGCCGGGGCCAGCGCCCGGCCUUGGCGCGCUGCUCUGCAGGAUUCGCCUUGCAGCUGCCGGAGCUGCCGAGGACAAGUCUGCUGUCGCUUUUAUUUUCCAGUGACAGUUGUAUUUUUUUCUUGGAAAGGGAGGGAGGUGCCAGAAACUUCUAGAAUCCUUGCCUUAGCCCCUGGUCCUCCAGAGCCGCUCGGUAAUCUGCCCUGUGUGGUCCCUUCUGCAUUCCUUGCCCUUCGUGCUGGCCGCGUCCUGGCCAAGCGCCCUGCAGUCGCUGGCUCAUUGCCUCUCCCACUCCUCGUGUCCCUCGACCUGAUCGGCUUCCUGAAGGAGCAACAUGGACAUUCGUGA
rnacentral:lncRNA from 1 species